AAUGAACGUUGGCGGCGUGGAUUAGGCAUGCAAGUCGCGCGACAAGGUUCCUUCGGGGACUGGAGGAGCGGCAAACGGGGUAGUAAGGCAUCGGAACGUACCCUCUAGUCGGGGAUAGCGGCGGGAAACUGCCGGUAAUACCCGAUGAUCUCUUCGGAGCAAAGGUCCGCCGCUGGGGGAGCGGCCGAUGUGGUAUCAGGUAGUUGGCGGGGUAACGGCCCACCAAGCCGAAGACGCCUAGGGGGUGUGAGAGCACGACCCCCACCACUGGGACUGAGAUACUGCCCAGACACCUACGGGUGGCAG
rnacentral:rRNA from 1 species